AUUGAACGCUGGCGGCAGGCCUAACACAUGCAAGUCGAGCGGAUGAAGGGAGCUUGCUCCUGGAUUCAGCGGCGGACGGGUGAGUAAUGCCUAGGAAUCUGCCUGGUAGUGGGGGAUAACGUCCGGAAACGGGCGCUAAUACCGCAUACGUCCUGAGGGAGAAAGUGGGGGAUCUUCGGACCUCACGCUAUCAGAUGAGCCUAGGUCGGAUUAGCUAGUUGGUGGGGUAAAGGCCUACCAAGGCGACGAUCCGUAACUGGUCUGAGAGGAUGAUCAGUCGCACUGGAACUGAGACACGGUCCAGACUCCUACGGGAGGCAGCAGUGGGGAAUAUUGGACAAAGGGCGAAAGCCUGAUCCAGACAUGCCGCGUGUGUGAAGAAGGUCUUCGGAUUGUAAAGCACUUUAAGUUGGGAGGAAGGGCAGUAAGUUAAUACCUUGCUGUUUUGACGUUACCAACAGAAUAAGCACCGGCUAACUUCGUG
rnacentral:rRNA from 1 species